CGUUUUCAAAUAAUAAUCACCUGUGGAGCGUGGUCUAUCUUUCUUUGACGGUUUACUUGACAAUUUAUUGUUCAUUUUGUUCAAUAUACAAUUCUCUUAAUAUUCCAUCAGAAUAUCGUCUUUUUGUAACGAAGAAACCUCAUAAAUCCAUGGAAAAUUACAUAAAUACACACAUUUCGAUUUUGUUUUGUCCGCCAUUUAAAAAGUAAACGAUAACCAUGGCAACAACGGGUACCAGUCC